UUUUUUCUGAGUUUAAUCUUAGCUCUGCAUGAACGCUAUCUAUUAGCUUUACACAUGUUAGUCGUAUGAAAUAUUUUUAUUUCAUGGCGAAAGGGUGAGUAAUACUCUUAAAUUUUACCCUAAUGAUAGGUUAAAUACCUUUAAAGAAAUAUUUUCGCAUUUGGAUAAAUUAAGAUUUGGAUUAGGCAGUAGGUGAUUUAAAAGAUUACCUAACCAAUGAUCCAUAAUUGAUCUGAGAGGAUGAUCAAUCACAGUGGCAAUGAAAAAAGGGCCACACAAAAUAAAAUUUGUCAGCAGUGAGGAAUAUUGGAGAAGGAUCGAAAGAUUGCUCCAGCUAAAUAGAAACCCCCUUAAGGGGGAAAAAAUAAAUAAAAUUCGCAUCAAGAAUGCCGAAUUAAUAUACAUUAUGAGUAAUUUUUAUUUUUUUUUAUCCUGACCAAUCUCGUGCCAGCAGUCGCGGUAAUACGAGAAGGAUAAGCGUUAUGCUUCAUAAUUAGGUGUAAAGUGUAAUUAGAUGGUAAUAUAACAAAGAGAUUAAGGGGUCAAAGACCUAUAUUUGGUUUUCUUUAUUAUUAUAUUACUUGAAUGGUUUAAAGGAAAUUGGAAUUUCAAGUGUAAGGAUGAAAUCUGGACAUAUUUGAAGGAACUCCUAUUGGCUAAUGCAGAUUUCUUAUAUUUCAUUGACAUUCAGAUACGAAAGUGUGGGGAGCAAAUAGGAUUAGAUACCCUUUUAGUCCACACCCUAAACUAUGAAUGUUUUUGGACGGAGUCCUCCGUUCUUUUACCUAUACAGGUUAAACAUUCCACCUGGGGAGUAUUAGGGCAACCUUGAAACCCAAAAGAAAAGAUGGUCUUCCAAAUAAGCAGUGAAGCAUGUUGUUUAAUUAGAUGAUCCACUAAAAAUCUUACCUAUCUUUUGUUAUUCUUUUUACAGGCGUUGCAUGGCUGUGUUCAGUUCUUGUUGUGAAAUAUUUAGUUAAGUCUUAUAAAGAACGCAACCCCCUUAUAUAAUUUUUACUUAUAUCUAUCAAAUAAAUAUUCCGUAGAUAUUAAAAGGGAUUAACACAAGUCCUCAUGACCCUUAUGAGUAGGGCUAUAGACGUGCCACAAAAGUUUAUACAAAAAGUGGCAAAAAAAAAUAAAGAGCUAAUCUUUAAAUUAAACUUUAGUACAGAUGAUAUUCUGAAACUCGAAUAUCUUAAGUUGGAAUUGCUAGUAAUCGUGAAUUAUUAUGUUACGGUGAAAUUUUUUCUGGAAGGUGUACUAAUUGCCCGUCAAGGGCUGAAAGUGAUUGGUUUUGGUGAAUUUUAAAGAUUUUUUGAAAUAAAGUAGCGAUUUUUAUAUUCAUAUACUUUUCUUUCUUUCUUUCUUUUCUUUUUCCCAUAUCACCUUUCACUAUUAGUUCUAAGUCGUAACUGGUUGGUGUAGGGGAACCUGUACCAGAAUUGUAAAAUUA
rnacentral:rRNA from 1 species